rnacentral:rRNA from 1 species
GUCCCAGCCGCCGCGGUAAUACGGAGGAUGCGAGCGUUAUCCGGAUUUAUUGGGUUUAAAGGGUGCGUAGGCUGUUAUAUAAGUCAGUGGUGAAAUAUUCGGGCUCAACCGGGAUACUGCCAUUGAUACUGUAUAGCUGGAAUAUGGUUGCUGUGGGUGGAAUGUGUGGUGUAGCGGUGAAAUGCAUAGAUAUCACACAGAAUAUCGAUUGCGAAGGCAACUCACAAAGCCAUUAUUGACGCUGAUGCACGAAAGUGUGGGGAUCAAACAGGAUUAGAUACCCUGGUAGUCCACACUGUAAACGAUGAUAACUAGCUGUCGGCGAUAGAUAGUCGGUGGCUAAGCGAAAGCGAUAAGUUAUCCACCUGGGGAGUACGACCGCAAGGUUGAAACUCAAAGGAAUUGACGGGGGCCCGCACAAGCGGAGGAACAUGUGGUUUAAUUCGAUGAUACGCGAGGAACCUUACCCGGGCUCGAACGGUGCAGGAAUAUGGUAGAGAUAUCAUAGCUAGCAAUAGUCUGUAUCGAGGUGCUGCAUGGUUGUCGUCAGCUCGUGCCGUGAGGUGUCGGCUUAAGUGCCAUAACGAGCGCAACCCUUGUCGUUAGUUACCAUCAAGUAAAGUUGGGGACUCUAGCGAGACUGCCACCGUAAGGUGUGAGGAAGGGGGGGAUGACGUCAAAUCAGCACGGCCCUUACGUCCGGGGCGACACACGUGUUACAAUGGUAGGUACAGAGGGGCGCUAUCCAGUGAUGGAGUGCGAAUCUCAAAAACCUAUCUCAGUUCGGAUUGGAGUCUGCAACUCGACUCCAUGAAGUCGGAAUCGCUAGUAAUCGCGGAUCAGCAUGCCGCGGNGAAUACGUUCCCGGGCNUNGUACACACCGCCCGUCACACCACGGGA